GACGAACGCUGGCGGCGUGCUUAACACAUGCAAGUCGAACGGUGAAGCAGAGCUUGCUCUGCGGAUCAGUGGCGAACGGGUGAGUAACACGUGAGUAACCUGCCCUUGACUCUGGGAUAAGCGUUGGAAACGACGUCUAAUACCGGAUACGAACCGCGAAGGCAUCUUCUGCGGUGGGAAAGAAUUUCGGUCAAGGAUGGACUCGCGGCCUAUCAGCUUGUUGGUGAGGUAAUGGCUCACCAAGGCGACGACGGGUAGCCGGCCUGAGAGGGUGACCGGCCACACUGGGACUGAGACACGGCCCAG
rnacentral:rRNA from 1 species